rnacentral:vault_RNA from 8 species
GGGUCGGAGUUAGCUCAAGCGGUUACCUCCUCAUGCCGCACUUUCUAACUGUCCAUCUCUGUGCUGGGGUUCGAGACCCGCGGGUGCUUACUGACCCUUUU